CUACGUGGCUGCUCUUUUUUUUUUUUUUUUUUUGUUAACCAUACGCACACGUUGCGCAGGAAAUUUACUUUCCCGAUUUAAAUUUCCCCCACCCGCCUCGCUCGAAACCCCUCCUCCCUCGCCCGCGUCACAUUCCACCAGCGCAACCAGGCAACGCUGCUCGUUCCUCCUCUGUCGCCCCUCGAAUUUACACUUCUCGUGUCAACCCAGUACCCACGUAGCCGUCGCCCCUCCUCUGCCAGCACCCUGUUUCGCCGUCACCCCUCCUGUUGUGCCCAGCGUCGCUGCCAGCAUGUUGCGAUCAAUGGCUCUGAAAGUUGUGAGUGAAGAAUCAUGGCCCCAUAUUGUUCGGCGGGCCCAAGCCCUAAUAAGAGUGCGAGCUUUCUCGGCCACCAUGUUACCUCCAUCCAAGGCCGUUGUCUACGAUCACCACGGUCCACCAGAUUCUGUCACCAGUGUAAGCAUCAGUUAGUUGCAAGGCUAGCUUUGUCGUUGGGAGCUUUUAUUGGAGUUAAGGUGUCUGAUGAGCAGCAGGCAGUACUGCUAUCAAAACUCUGAAGUCCUUUUGCAUUCAGUUUGAUGUGGAGCAUAAGCAAAUAACAUGGUUGCUGUGUUUAUCCAAUCAGAUCUUGGUGGUAAUGUGGACAACUAUUUUAAAGUAUAAUUCUGGUAUGCUCGGUUGUAAUGCUUGGCUGUAAUUGUGGACAAAUCUUGGUUGUAGUUGUGAACAAAUAUUGUUAAGUGUAAUGCUGUGGACAGAUUGGUUAUUGUAAUUCUAGAAAUAUUUUGGUUGUUAGUUUA